AGACUACAUUAUUUAAACUUGCACAAAACACCUCAUUUAAACUUAUCACAGAACAAAAAUUUCAAAAUACAUCAACUACUUCAUGUGAUGAAAUUUGGUGCUAUUAUAUAAUCGUUUGUUUUAUUUACAUGGUAAUUCACUUAACAUAUUUAUAUUAAUAUUUUACAGUAUUUUCCAGCCUUGAAACUUGUUUAACAACAUUUAAAUCUAUUCUUAACAACUUUGUUUCCUGACUUCAUCUGAACUGGAUCAAAAAGUACUAAGAAGUUUCAAAAGCUCAAGAUUUUCAAAAUCGGGCCAGUUUGCAGAAUUCUGAAGUGCGAGGAUGCAACUACUGUAGAUGU